rnacentral:sRNA from 1 species
UUUAUUUUGAAGAUAGUUAAUUAAGAGUGGGAAUUUAAUGAAAAAAACCCUCAACUUUGGCCAGAUCCAUUUUUAAAUCCUGAACUAUGUUUUUAGUAAAACAAACCCUGAACUAAAACCUGUUAAUAAACUUAACCCCACAGUAAUUAAAUAUUAAUGGGAUAUUAAUUUCCAAAAAUCGACCAAAGAACAAUGACAGAAUCCGUGAUCCAACUGAAGAUCGUCCACCUCAAAAAGUUCCUUAUACACGUGAAAAAGUUCAAAUGGUAAAAUAGAGAACAAUGAAUUAUGUUUCACAAGAUCUUCCUUUUCAAAUUAUUUAAUUUAAUCUUUGCAUAUUUAGACUUGCAGCAACUGUCAACAAGUCGGACACAACAAACGUUCAUGCAAGCGUAAAGCAGUGCCAAAACCACCCAAGAAACCUCAAAGACGACCAAGGAAAAAACAGAAAACAAUGGAUGAAGAGAACCCUAUCACUCAGCCAAUACAAUCUUCUCUUCAAAGUUAAUGCUUGACAAGUCUUUACUUUAGAAUAUUUUGUCCCUCUGAAACGAUUGUUUUUUUUUGUGACAAAUAUUGUUGUGUUGCAACAGCUUCGAUAGUUAUGUUGGUUGGAUUUAUUUAAGCAUGACUCUUUGGAUUAUUUUAAGUUGUUGUGUCUUUCUUUCAGCUUCUAAAAUCCAAACUAAUUAAGCAAUUCAAAAUCAUUUAGAACAUUU